AGUGGUGGUAGUGCUAAUAAACCAAACUGACGUGUCUUUUAACCUCAAAAACAACGUUUCAGUAAACACCACUUGUGAAGAAAAAAGAUGUUGAUGAACCACGAUUUUCAUCAUUUUUCCCAGUAUCGUCAGUGAUUGAUAAGGGGUAGGAAGUGCGCGUGAAAAUAGUGUAGACGUUCCACGUACAGAAACACCUGCAAUUAGCCGCAGCAAUGAGCGAUAAACCCAAGACACGGUUCCUAAUUUAUGCUCUGGGUAUUUUCUUCUGUUACUUCGUAUUCGGGAUUCUACAGGAGAAAAUCACCCGAGGCCGGUAUGGGGAUGAAGUUAAUGAGGAUGGUAGUCGCGGGGAACGAUUCACCUUUGCUCUGGCCCUCGUGGGGGUGCAGUGUGUUGUAAAUUGGGCCUUUGCAAAGGGAAUGCUGCUUGUGUGGCAACAGAAGAAGGAUGAAACUCAUCCGGGGUACUAUGCCAGCUGUUCCUUGACAUACCUCCUGGCUAUGGUGGGUUCCAAUAUGGCUCUCCGAUGGGUACCGUAUCCAACACAGGUGGUUGGAAAGGCAGCAAAACCCAUUCCUGUGAUGAUCCUUGCUGUUCUCAUUGGACGCAAAUCAUACCCACUGUCCAGGUACCUGUGUGUCCUCACCAUAGUGCUGGGUGUUGUGCUCUUCAUGUACAAGGAUGGCAAGAGUAGUGCCGUGGAUGAGGAGGGAACAGGGCUCGGGGAACUCCUUCUAAUUCUCAGCCUGGCAAUGGAUGGACUCACGGGGGCGAUUCAGGAGAGAAUGAGAGCUUCCAGUGCCCCAUCGGCACAGCAUAUGAUGCUGGCUAUGAAUGGCUGGAGUAGUGCAAUGGUUGCCAUUCCUCUCGUUAUUUCCGGAGAAGCUCUGAGCUUCAUUCAAUUCACCAUUAACCAUCCAAUUCUCAUCUGGCAUUUAACCACUCUUGCUCUCACAGGAGCUCUCGGGCAGCUCUUUAUCUUCCUCAUGGUCUCUGGCUUUGGUCCUUUGGCUUGUUCUGUGGUCACGACAACAAGAAAAUUCUUCACGGUACUGUUCUCUGUGCUGAUCUUCGGCAAUCCCCUCAUCCCAAGGCAAUGGGCUGGAGCUAUUCUCGUCUUCUUGGGCCUCUUCAGUGACAUAUUCAUCAACAAGAAACCCCCAGCACCACCACAAGCAACCAAGAAGCCACUCAUGAAGGAGGAGCACUAACUAAAUCAAUUUCUCUUGAAAGAAAUUCUAAACAGGAAUUGCACGACAUUUUUUUGAUUUAAUUUUUAUCAUUAUUUAUAGUGAUUUUUCUGCCUUCCACAGUCAAUAGGAAAAUAUUUUGAAUAUAAAUAUUUUUUAUGCAAAAAAUAAUAAAAUAAAAUAAAAAAAAAAGUACUCUGCGUUGAUACCACUGCUU